rnacentral:rRNA from 1 species
CGCAUAGCCGGUUGAGGCGAAUUCGGUGAUCCUCUGCUGCCAAGAAAAGCCUCUAGCGAGCACACACACGGCCCGUACCCGAAACCGACUCAGGUGGUCAGGUAGAGAAUACCAAGGAGAUUGAGAGAAUCGUGGUUAAGGAACUCGGCAAAAUGCCCCCGUAACUUCGGGAGAAGGGGGACCGGAAUAUCGUGAACACCCUUGCGGUGGGAGCGGGAUCCGGUCGCAGAAACCAGUGAGGAGCGACUGUUUACUAAAAACACAGGUCCGUGCCAAGUCGCAAGACGAUGUAUACGGACUGACGCCUGCCCGGUGCUGGAAGGUUAAGAGGAGGGGUUAACGCGCAAGGGCGAAGCUCUGAAUUUAAGCCCCAGUAAACGGCGGCCGUAACUAUAACGGUCCUAAGGUAGCGAAAUUCCUUGUCGGGUAAGUUCCGACCUGCACGAAUGGCGUAACGACUUCCCCACUGUCUCAACCGCGAACUCGGCGAAAUUGCAUUACGAGUAAAGAUGCUCGUUACGCGCAGCAGGACGGAAAGACCCCGUGACCUUUACUACAGCUUGGUAUUGGUGUUCGGUGUGGCUUGUGUAGGAUAGGUGGGAGGCUAUGAAGCAUGGACGCCAGUUCAUGUGGAGUCAUUGUUGAAAUACCACUCUGGUCACUCUGGAUAUCUAACUUCGAACCGUGAAUCCGGUUCAGGAACAGUGCCUGGUGGGUAGUUUAACUGGGGCGGUUGCCUCCCAAAAAGUAACGGAGGCGCCCAAAGGUUCCCUCAACCUGGUUGGCAAUCAGGUGUCGAGUGUAAGUGCACAAGGGAGCUUGACUGUGAGACUGACAGGUCGAGCAGAGACGAAAGUCGGCCAUAGUGAUCCGGUGGUGGCUCGUGGAAGCGCCAUCGCUCAACGGAUAAAAGGUACUUUAGGGAUAACAGGCUGAUUUUGCCCAAGAGUCCAUAUCGACGGCAAAGUUUGGCACCUCGAUGUCGGCUCAUCACAUCCUGGGGCUGGAGUAGGUCCCAAGGGUACGGCUGUUCGCCGUUUAAAGUGGUACGUGAGCUGGGUUCAGAACGUCGUGAGACAGUUUGGUCCCUAUCUGCUGUGGGUGUACGAAGUUUGAGAGGAUCUGACCCUAGUACGAGAGGACCGGGUUGGACAUACCUCUGGUGUGCCAGUUGUUCUGCCAAGAGCACCGCUGGUUAGCUACGUUCGGGAUGGAUAACCGCUGAAAGCAUCUAAGCGGGAAACCUUCUCCAAGAUCAGGUUUCUCACCCACUUGGUGGGAUAAGGCCCCCCGCAGAACACGGGUUCAAUAGGUCAGACCUGGAAGCUCAGUAAUGGGUGUAGGGAACUGGUGCUAACCGGCCGAAAACUUACAACA